GCGGUGAAGUUGUGAAUAAAGCCAUCGCCACUACGGGGCGAUAUGUUCAUGGGUGAAAAUUCUACAGCCGGAUAAUGUGCUCAGACCUGCCUCUGCGUGUCGCCGUUGAGUUGCUCCACGGCUCUGGUUCAGCUCAGCGAGAGACCCCGCUGCUUUACCAUUGCAAUUCCCCUAUUAUUUCCCCCCAGCUUGUCUGAGCUCCGCAGUGUUUGCUCGGACGGACUAGGAGUCUGGGAGUGUGGAAUUGGUGUAUCAUGGCCGCCUGAAUACAAAUCUGAACACACUGUUUCUCUCUCCUUCCAUCCCCUUCCCUUGAGUGGUAGCGUUAGUGUCUGUGUCGUUUCGAGUUGUCGAAGAUUUCUCGGAAUUAUUUGAUUUCUUUAGGAAUAAAUCAUUCAUGUCCAUGCUCAAAAAUGCAGCCACCACCGAGAAAGGUAAAGGUGACUCAGGAGCUGAAGAACACGCAUACUGAGCAGAUGACAAGGCUCCACAUCAAGCAUCAGACAGAAUGUGACUUACUGGAAGACAUGAGGACCUACAGUCAGAAGAAGUCCAUCCUGGAGAGGGACUAUGCACAGGUAAGUGUGUGUGUGUGUGUGUGUGUGUGUGUG